CAUACUGUGGGGGAAAUAUUAAGGGGGUAAAGUUUUGCUGGGUGUUUGUGCUUAGUCCUAUGCUUUCCCUGAGUAUCUUCUAUCAGGAAUUGUCAGAAGGUAGUAAGCAAGAAGGACAGUGGCUGUAGGAGGCAGUAGAGCCUUUCCCAUUGGAAGUCUAUAGGCUGCUUUGCGAGUAGCUUUGGACAAAGGAAUGGAAUCCAGCAGAUGCCCAUCUAUGUGGUAGUAGCAGAACUAUGAUGAAAUGAUACUGAUCUGAGGAAGAAGAUAACAUGCAGAACAGCUCCAUCACAUUCAGGUUGCACAACUUACAGCUUCCCAUUUCCAGCACCUGGAAAUAUGGGAUCCUGGCAUUAGCCAUCCUCUUGCUCCUGGGGGCCUUGACCAUCCUGGCUUACCAGAUGUGCCAGCUUCAGAAACACAGCAGGACUGGGAAAAAGAAGAAAUACGGCAGUGAAGAUGGGGUGAAGAUGAGGGCACAGAAUGGCCUGUGGGGGAAGAAGAUGCCGCCUCUUCUGCUUGACAGCAGCCAGCAGAGUGACGUGGAUAUGGAGGCAUGUACAUCAGUGCUGGGCAAGGCUGAGAGCCAUAUGAAGUCCAGUGCUGGGGGAAGUGAAAAACCUGCAGUGCAAUUUUUGGGAAAGCUGAUGACUAACUCGAUCUCAAGUUUCACUUCUAGUUACUCCUCCUUUAUACAGCAUCUGUUCAAUCUGAGGGCAGGAGCAAUGGCAAGUUUCUCUCCUUUCCCUUCCCCCCCAAUUCCACCCCAU